CUUGGCAGUUAUAGAGGCGGGGGUACACCUGUUCCCAUCCCGAACACAGCAGUUAAGCUCGCCAUCGCCCAUGUUACUGCGGCGUGACCGUGGAAAAGUAGGUCGCUGCCAAGA
rnacentral:rRNA from 1 species